rnacentral:rRNA from 1 species
GACGAACGCUGGCGGCGUGCUUAACACAUGCAAGUCGAACGGAAAGGCCCUGCUUUUGUGGGGUGCUCGAGUGGCGAACGGGUGAGUAACACGUGAGUAACCUGCCCUUGACUUUGGGAUAACUUCAGGAAACUGGGGCUAAUACCGGAUAGGAGCUCCUGCUGCAUGGUGGGGGUUGGAAAGUUUCGGCGGUUGGGGAUGGACUCGCGGCUUAUCAGCUUGUUGGUGGGGUAGUGGCUUACCAAGGCUUUGACGGGUAGCCGGCCUGAGAGGGUGACCGGCCACAUUGGGACUGAGAUACGGCCCAGACUCCUACGGGAGGCAACAGUGGGGAAUAUUGCACAAUGGGCGGAAGCCUGAUGCAGCAACGCCGCGUGCGGGAGGACGGCCUUCGGGUUGUAAACCGCUUUCGCCUGUGACGAAGCGUGAGUGACGGUAAUGGGGAAAGAAGCACCGGCUAACUACGU